UAGGGAAUCUUCCACAAUGGGCGAAAGCCUGAUGGAGCAACGCCGCGUGUGUGAUGAAGGGUUUCGGGCUCGUAAAACACUGUUGUAAGAGAAGAAUGACAUUGAGAGUAACUGUUCAAUGUGUGACGGUAUCUUACCAGAAAGGAACGGCUAAAUACGUGCUAG
rnacentral:rRNA from 1 species